rnacentral:piRNA from 1 species
UGGGCUGUAACCAUUAAGACUGAAGAUUGA